CUCUCACAUGCGCUAGCAAAAUCCAAAUCCAAAUCCAAAUCCAAAAAUUUCUUCAUUUUUUCGUCGAUGGCGGAUUGGUCUACGCUUCCCGCCGAACUCCUCCACCUCAUUUCCCAGCAACUCCCCUCCUCAACUGACGUCCUCCGCUUCCGCUCCACCUGCGCCACCUGGCGCACCGCCAUCCCCCCGCCUCCCUCAUCCGCCGCCCGCUUCCCCGUCCUCCCCAAUUCCGGGAUCUCCGACACCAGCUGGGGCUUCCACCUCUCCAAGCGCACAAUCUAUUCCCUCCGACCACCGCUCCCCCAUCAAUCCUCAUGGAUCAUCAAAUUGGAUCGGGAUAAACAGCCGCCUCUGCAUCUCCUCAACCCUCUCGAUGGAUCGGAGGUCAAUUCCUUCCCCACCGCAUUUCCGAAGCUCUUCAGUUUCCUCGACAUUAGGGUUAGAGAAUUGGGCGAUGAGUACGCGCUGCAGUAUAUCAAUUUCAGGCCGACGGCUACCUCGAUUGGGGAGGCUGGGAAUCUCUACAUGGAGAAAGUCGCCGUGUUGAACAACGGCAGCGGCGGCGGGUUCGUGCUCUUGACGAUUCACGUUUCCGGUAAAUUGGUGGUGUAUAAGUCUGGCGACGAGAAAUGGAGGCUGAUUGAUGAUUUUCCUUCUCCGUACGAUGAUGUGAUCCUUUGGAAGGGGAAAUUCUACGCUGUUGAUAACACCGGCCGGCUUGUUGUGGUAAACACUGCUGAUUUGAAUGUGAGUGUUGCUGCGAAUUCGAUUUUUGGCGGUGAUAAGAAAUUACUUGUGGAUUGUGAUGGGGAAUUGUUGGCGGUGGAUAUGUAUCUGAGUGUUGAGCCGGCUGAUGACCUAGGUUUCAAUGAGGGGCUCGAGUUUUACGAGGAGUUCGAUUCAUUUAUGAGUGAGAGAACUGUGAAAUUUAAGGUGUUUAGAUUGGAUCAAGAGGGUGAGAAAUGGAUAGAGAUGACUGAUUUAGGGGAUAUAAUGUUGUUCUUGGGUGAUAAUUGUGCGUUUUCAGCUUCAGCUGCAGAGAUUUUUAAUGAUGAGAAAUGUAGGGGGAAUUGCAUAUUCUUUACUGACCAGUAUUGCAAUAGAGAGGACGAGGGGGGGCUUAAGUCUCGAAGUGUUGGACUGUUUGAUUUGGAGAGUGGCAGUAUCGGGCCAGUUGAUAGUCACAUUGGUUAUUCGAAGCUGUUUUGGCCCCCUCCCGAUUGGGUUUGCUCAACUGCGUCCAUCGAAGCUGGGAUGAAUCAAAUGAAUAUUUGAUGCUGGAAAGGAUAUUAACAAGCGGCCUACAAAGAACAUGGACAUAUGCCAUGCCUGUCACUAGCAGCUUCUCUUGAUACAUCUGUCAUGCUGGUCGACCUAUUAGUCUUGUUUAGGGGAGUAAUGGUCCUUCCUUAGCUGUUGGGCAAGAGCUGGAACAAGCAGAAGGUUGAGUUUACGCUGAAUAGGGAAGAGACUAGGUGCAAUCUUGUUUAGGAUGGGAAGGCCGUUGAAACCGGCUUCCCUGCCAAAGAUGGACAUGACUCUGCUGCAGCGCAUGGCAUCAUCGAUCCUAGCAAUUAUAUAGAACUGAAAUAGCUUUCAAGAAUCGAGUGCCCUACAUCCUGCAUGAGAGAAAAAUAGUGACAAAUAGUUCUAUAGGCUGUAAAAUGUUGAUAAUCUCUUCCAUUAUAGAGGCCAUGUUUUGAACA